rnacentral:rRNA from 1 species
AACGAACGCUGGCGGCAUGCCUAACACAUGCAAGUCGAACGAACCCUUCGGGGUGAGUGGCGCACGGGUGCGUAACACGUGGGAACCUGCCCUUAGGUUCGGAAUAACACAGAGAAAUUUGUGCUAAUACCGGAUAAUGUCUUCGGACCAAAGAUUUAUCGCCUUUGGAUGGGCCCGCGUAGGAUUAGCUAGUUGGUGGGGUAAAGGCUCACCAAGGCGACGAUCCUUAGCUGGUCUUAGAGGAUGAUCAGCCACACUGGGACUGAGACAAGGCCCAGACUCCUACGGGAGGCAGCAGCAAGGAAUUUUGCGCAAUGGGCGAAAGCCUGACGCAGCGACGCCGCGUGAGGGAUGAAGGCUUUCGAGUCGUAAACCUCUUUUCCUGAGGAAGAAUAAUGACGGUACUCAGGGAAUAAGUCUUGGCUAACUACGUGCCAGCAGCCGCCGUAACAC